CUAUGCUUGACUCCUUGCUUUCCUCAAGUAUUCACCAGUAUUCUGUGAAUUCUUGAGGAAAGCAAGGAGUCAAGCAUAG
rfam:Papio anubis isolate 1X1155 chromosome 6, whole genome shotgun sequence.